rnacentral:lncRNA from 1 species
GCCGUAAAACCUUUUUGAAAUCGUAAAACGUGGUUAGAUUAAGGAGAUGUUUAUCUUUCAAAUGGUGUAAAAUAGUUGUAUUUUUGAAAAAUUAGAAUUUUGACAUUUAUUUGGAUUCAAAUUUGCCGCUCUUGAAAUGCACCUGCUGUUGAUGGAGUGCACCACGGGUGGCACGCUAGCGUCCCACCUAGCCCAUAGAGGUUAACAUGAGAUCCUUUCUAAGCUUUACAGGAAUGUGGUUCUUAAUAUAAAUGGCCACACCUCCACCUUUCGGCAUUUGUCUUUUCUGUAGAUGUUAUAACCAUGUAUUGCUACCACUGUAUCAUCAAAGGUAUUAUCUAAGUGAGUUUCAGAGAUUGACAGAAUAUGAAUGUCAUCUGUCACUAGCAAAUUACUGAUUUCAUGAACCUUGUUUCUUGAGCUACAUAUGUUAACAUGGGCUAUUUUUAGCACUUUUUUGGGAUGCUUCUGUCAUUGAACAGUCAUUGUCUCAAUGCAGCCUGAUAAUGCUGUGAAAGGAUCCAGGAACCCAAAUGAUUUGGGUGGAUACCAUCCUCCUUAUAAUACGAGCUUUGUUUCCAGAAGAUAUCAAAAUUGUCAAUAAAUGUUACAUCCACAGAGCUACCACAGUCUCGUAGCCAGUUAUGGAGGGAUAAAAGUCUGCUGAACCGUUCAAUGCCACGAUUUGGGGAUGGCAGAGGGCCAGAUAUUAUAGGGUGCUUGUUGGUGUCAAGUAGUGACCCAAUCAGUUCUUUAAAAUCAAUCUUCAGCUGUUCUGAGCUGCCCUUCAUAAUGUUAUUGAAUACCACAUGAUAUACUCAAUUUCCUGAUGCUGGUUUAAAAUGUUUGGGAGCAGCUUAUUGAUGUCCUGUACUCGUGCUCCUGGAUAGCACAACAUUUUUGACAUUCCUCACUGUUGAACUGCCCAAUACAACGCCGGAGAAGGGAAUUGAGAAAUCCGCCCAUUCCCACCCCUCACACAGUUCAUUGAUCCUUUCAUGGGCCUGGCGAUAGGUCCAGAUCUCCCACAGAAGGCAGUGCCCUGUCAGAUCCAGAGAGAGGGAAAGGAGCCGAACUCAACGACGAAGCAGCUGCUGAAGUCAGCAUAGUUGGAGUCAGCACCGCCAUCGCAGACACAGGUAAUCCCAGCAAUGAAGGCGCAGGUAGAUCAGGCACAAGUGCAGCGAAGCUAUUCCUUAUGUCAAUCUGCUCCGAACCUCUAGCAGUCUGUCAUGUCUGCUUACAGCAUGCCGCUGCCUUUGGUUUCCACAACUUGUGACAUGGGAUCAGCGCAGAUUGGAACGCUCUACUUGCUGUUCUCCAUCUACUUCACUACAGGAUCGAGGAGGAGAAGCAGAUGGAAAAGACUUCCUUGGCAGCUAGUUCCAGGUAGCACAGGCCAGUCGUAUAGGGACAGGUGAUGGGGAAACAUCCAUUAGGCCCGAGCGGCGUCCUGCCAUAGGAGAAGCAGCCAUGAUGAUAUCCACAGAGAGAGAGGCCGGCCCACAAACCAACAGCCGUUACAGAACUACCCACCACAACUGGAUCAAGCAGCGUCCCUGGGAGGAGAUGGAUUCCUGGUCUCUGGAGGAGAGGCUAGAGAGGAUAAACUGGACUUGGGGCCAAGUAUUGGACAGAUAUAGAAGCCUGCCGGGGAGGCACGAGAGGCUACAGAAACACAAAGAAAGUUUUGGGUGGGGGGCACAUGAAGCAGUCGGCGGAGCUGAGGAGUAAACCAGAGCCAAUCCGGGAGAGGAGGGAGUAUUUGGAGAAGGGAGAAAUGGCUUGUUGAGUUGGUGGAGGACGCACAAGUUUUUCCCAAAGGAACGUGUCGUCAGUUUGGUGCCACCUGAGUCAGCUCCCCGUACUCGUCCUAAGAAGUGUGUGGAAGUUCUGGAACAAGUGAUACCGGCUAUACACACCAGAUCUCCAGUACGUCUCAACUGCCCGGUACGUCCUGUCCCUGCUCCUCGCAUUCGCCCUGAAAUGCGUGUCACCAGUCUGGUGCCACCUGUCCCGGCUCCACGCACUAGGCCUUCAGUGCGCCUGCCCAGUCCAGAGCCUCCAGCGACGCUCCCCAGUCCGGCGCCUCCAGCGACGCUCCCCAGUCCGGCACCUCCAGCGACACUCCCCAGUCCGGUUCCUCCUCCGAUGAUCCACGGUCCGGUGGUACUAAAGCAGAGGGAUCAGCGGGUGGAGCGGGGGUUACGCCCCGAACCGGAGCCGCCUCCCCUGCUGGAGGAUCCGCUGGAGGAUAAGUUUAUGUGGACUGCACUAGAGCCGCCAUAGACAGGAGUUACCCACCCUACCCUCCCUUUUGUUUUUUUUGUGGCAUUCGGAGUCUGCACCUUUGGGGGGGGGGGGGGGUACUGUCACGUCCUGACCAUAGUAAGAUGUUAUUUUCUAUGGUAGAGUAGGUCAGGGCGUGACGGGGGGUGUUUGUGUUUUUCAAUGUUUUGUAUAUCUAUGUUUAGGUUCUAGUUUUCUAUGUUUUUUGGGGGGAUGAUCUCCAAUUAGAGGCAGCUGGUCCUCGUUGUCUCUAAUUGGAGAUCAUACUUAAAACCUCUUACAUCUAGACGUUCCGCUAGCGGAACACCUGCUCCAAUAUCCAAUGAUAGGCGUGGCGCGAAUUACAAAUUCCGCAAAAAUACAAAAACUUCAAUUUUUCAAACAUAUGACUAUUUCACAGCAUUUUAAAGACAAGACUCUCCUUUAACUAACCACACUGUCCGAUUUCAAAAAGGCUUUACAGCGAAAGCAAAACAUUAGAUUAUGUCAGCAGAGUACCAAGCCAGAAAUAAUCAGACACCCAUUUUUCAAGCUAGCAUAUAAUGUCACAAAAAACAAAACCACAGCUAAAUGCAGCACUAACCUUUGAUGAUCUUCAUCAGAUGACAACCCUAGGACAUUAUGUUAUACAAUGCAUGCAUGUUUUGUUCAAUCAAGUUCAUAUUUAUAUCAAAAACCAGCUUUUUACAUUAGCAUGUGACGUUCAGAACUAGCAUACCCCCCGCAAACAUCCGGUGAAUUUACUAAAUUACUCACGAUAAACGUUCACAAAAAACAUAACAAUUAUUUAAAGAAUUAUAGAUACAGAACUCCUCUAUGAACUCGAUAUGUCCGAUUUUAAAAUAGCUUUUCGGUGAAAGCACAUUUUGCAAUAUUCUCAGUAGAUAGCCCAGCCAUCACGGCUAGCCAUUUAGACACCGACCAAGUUUAGCCCUGAUCAAACUCCGAUUUACUAUUACAAAAGUUUCAUUACCUUUGUUGUCUUCAUCAGAAUGCACUCCCAGGACUGCUACUUCAUUAACAAAUGUUGGUUUGGUCCAAAAUAAUCCAUCGUUAUAUCCGAAUAGCGGCGUUUUGUUCGUGCGUUCCAGACACUAUCCGAAAUGGUAAAGAAGGGUCGUGCGCAUGGCGCAAUUCGUGACAAAAAAAAUCUAAAUAUUCCAUUACCGUACUUCGAAGCAUGUCAACCGCUGUUUAAAAUCAAAUUUUAUGCCAUUUUUCUCGUAGAAAAGCGAUAAUAUUCCGACCGGGAAUCUCCUUUUCGGCAAACAGAGGAAAAAAUCACAAAGACGGGGGCGGCCAGGUCACGCGCCUAAGCCCAGAGUCCCUUGAUCGGCCACUUGAGAAAGGCGAUAAUGUGUUUCAGCCUGGGGCUG